GUACGUAUCAUGUUUGUUACACUUCCUCGUUCAGAAUGUAAAUCUGUAACCUUGACGCUGCUGCUCCAUCUUUCCCAUCUGACGAGAUCUAACUCACUGGAGUCAAUUCUUCCUCUUUUGGUUUGGGAUUCCAGGGUCAUCCCCCUCUCCUUCCACCACUCCCAACCCUGUGUGACCCCCACCCGCCCGGGAUGCUCAUCCUGUUUCCUAUAGUUUCCUCUUCCCUGCAGACAGGAAAAGGCUGGAACCCACGGACGCAAACGCGGUGGGGGGAGCAGUCAGGAAGUGAUUUCACUGCAGCACCUGCAACCAGGAAAUAGAACAACCCCGUCAGGGGAGGCGGAGGCGCGGGCUGUAUGGGCUCGCACAUUCAGAGUAUAUAUCCAGACACAAACAAGCACUGAACCCACAAGCACCCCGUGACUUCCCCUACAGCUGUUGGCAUUGAAACUGCAAGACAGGAAACCGAGUGUGAACACGAUUCUGUCUGUUUGUGCACACGCGCUCUCUGACAAGUCAACUGUGAACAUAAGUUGAAGCAGAGGAAACACUGAAGCAAAUGUGCAAUGUUUUUCUUUUUGUUUCAUGGGCGGGCUGGACUGAGGGAAACAAAGAUCAUCAGCAGAUCUGUAACUCAUUUAAGGGAUGGCGGAGGGGAUCAGGGGAAGCGAUUUUGUAUUUAUAUUGCAUUUAGACCUUCCUGAAAUGCUACAGGUGACCUAAAAGUCCUAAUUUAAUUGACUUUUUUCCAGCAGUCUGAUUUCUUAUUGGUUGAAGAAUUGGCAAAAUGUGCAAAGGUAAUGGGGAGUAAUAGCCAAGUUUGGAGUCCAUACAGCUAUGAUGCUGGAUAAGACAAAUCUUUCUAGUUUCUAUUUUGUUAAACAGAUGUUUUAGGAUUUACAUUUUCAUUUUUUAACAAAGUUUAAAUAAAACUUGAAUCUGGUGUUCUUUGCUUUGGGUUUCAAGUGUUUCUUAACAAAAAAGCUUCAAAGUAUUAAAGAGUUUGAGAUUCACCUUUUGCUUAAUCCCUGACAGUAAGAGCUGGUACCACAGUAGAUCCAAACAAUGGGAAUAGAAUACUAAGGUGUGGCUAAAGAUUUAUUGGGUUGGACAUUAACUGGCCUUGUGGCUGUAAAAAGCAAUAAAACCCUUUGCUAGUAAGAAGCUCACAAAGAGUAUUUUUUAGCAUAAAUAUAAACAAAUACAAAUCCACCAAAAGUGAUAUUUGGCCAGCAGGAAAUUUUUAAGGUAAUUUUAACUGGCCAGGGGAUGGAAAAAAAAAGAUUUAAAAUAUUAUUAAAAUGUUGUGCUUUUUCAAAGGUUUAUUCUGAACAUGAUAAAUCGUUAUUCUUACUAAAUUUGCAGUUCAGUACAAGUUAAGAUGCAUUUUAAAUCCUUUCAUGCUCAAUUUUAAGAUUUCAAACCAUCGAGAAACCUAGUUUGGAAGUUCCAGGUCAACAUCAGUGGCUAUUUUUUCUACUUUUACAGUUGUGUCAUUAUGCAUUGGUCUCCUAUAUUAUGUGUGUUUUUUUUCUCUGUUUUUCUAUGAUGGUUCACCUUUUCCCCCCAUUUUCUUAAAUAUUCUCUUCACUACAUUUGUGGAUGCACUGGAAUUUCUAUGCUUCGGUCCAUCAUGUUGUGAUGAUUAAAGUCAGAAACUAUUGAAGGGAAGGGGUUAGAAACGUAGGGGUGGAGCUAAAUUAAAAAAAAAAAGAGCAAGGAGGAAGACACUGAAACAGCUUCUUCCCUCUAUUGUCAUGGGGAAUGCAACAUCACAGGAAAAUAAAGUGAAUGAGCUCUGAGCACCGACAGAGCCACAGGUGGAUUAAUGGUAAUGUCAUGUUGUACCUGUAGCGGAUGCCUCUUGGAGCAGCUUUACAGAUCACUGAACAGUAUUUGUCUUUAUUGCACAACUUAUUUCUAUGAGGGAAAAAAAACACAAAAAUUUCAAAUAAAACCAACUUGAAGCACA